CUGGAAUCGUGACGUGAUGCUGCCGGCAGGUGCACGUGGAACUUUACAGGGAGCAGGGCGAAACUCUUUCCAGCGUGGGGAAUUUUGGAGCGAUUUUACUUCCUUUGAAGACGGGUGUUGUUCCUGAAGCCACUUCUGUGCAAUAGGAAAAUCAGCCGGGGCCGAGCAGGAAGCUGUGAGGUCGGCAGCACAUUCCAGCGCACCCAGAACAUCAGAGCACCUCAUCCCGUCCCUCAGCACAGCCCUGCACAGACAGCUCUGGGAGCUGGAACGACGCAAGGAGCUGGAUUUGCGGCUAUGAGCUGAUCUGAGGGUGGA